rnacentral:lncRNA from 1 species
CCCGUAUUUUAGGACUAUCCACAAUUACCUGUCUCAAAAAGCAACAACAAAAUCAAUCAAUAUCUAACAAAACAACUCAUAAUCGUCAUCGACUACCCAGUCAGAUCUCCAUCACUAUUAAACAAUCACUUGUAAGACCGUGAUGCUAAAUCUAUCUCCAAAAUACGAUAAGAAAGUCCGAUCUAGUAAACAAGUCGAGAAUGAUAAUUAAUUCACAUGACACUAUUAAAAUGACUAUGGAGCGACUCUAAGAGUUUUAAAGAAAAGACUAUAACAAUAAAUAAAAUCUACGCCCACGCGAACAAGUGCGAGGCUCAUCAAGAACUAUCAAUAUGUGCGCUCUAAUUAACGAAAUCUUCGCCCGCGUCAACUGUUGUCUCUGUAAAAAAAUUAGCGGGGAAUGAGUCGUUAGCUCAGUGAGUAAUAACACUAAACAACAACCGUUUUUAUUGGGGAUAAGUCAGAAAACAUGCUAGUAUCUCAAACAGAAAAUAACAUAAAAAUGCCCUUUCAGAAACAAUAAAUAAUUCUCAGUCUCAUUAUACUUUUCUUGUAGUACAAUAAUAUUAAGAAUUCAGUAAUAAGCUCGGUAACCACUGUAUAAUAUCAGUAUUCACAUUUGGGAGGUUUCAAUGAAUGGAUCAUAUAAUCGAUAUAACUGUGGACUUCUUCGCAAGAAGUCAAAUAUAACGGUAGUCCCUACUCGAGAGAAAACGGUAACGAUAUGCUAGUUCUACCUUCCCACUAGUGAGAGCUAUAACUGUACUCUGUAAUCGGUAAAUACAUGGUGCAACAGGUCUAACGAACUCGCCUAUAGCUACGGGAUCCUUCAAAGUCUCCUCCCAUUUAUACUUUUUCUUGUAACCAGUAAAUAUUCAUAAGAAAGCAUUUUCAAAAUCAUAAAGGGCAUAUCAAUUCUUACCAAAUCAUGUAAAUCCAUUUUGGUAAUGGUAACUAUAUCUCAAGUAACAUUAAAUCAUGUCUAGUAUUAGUGAGAACAUUUUAAAUAACGGUAAACAUCUCCAGUAAAUUGUUCAGUAUCAUAUCAAGUACUUGUCACACAUGCAAUUUCAAACAUUCGGUAACAUAUUUUAUUUUCAAAAUAACAUAUAAACCAUGUAGGUUAUGAAAACACAAAUUGUGGUAAGAUUACUACUCACAGUUCUCGUGCGAAAUACCAAACUCGUCACCUCGAACGAUCUGUACGAUUUUCUUCAAUCAAUCUAUAACCACAUCAACAUUGAUCUCGUGUUAAUUGCUUCAUUUAUGCCAAAUUCAUCACUAAUUUAGGAUACCCAAUCCUCCGAAUUUUAUAUUUUAUCAUCAAUUCGCCAAAUUAUAUUUACCCNNNNNNNNNNNNNNNNNNNNNNNNNNNNNNNNNNNNNNNNNNNNNNNNNNNNNNNNNNNNNNNNNNNNNNNNNNNNNNNNNNNNNNNNNNNNNNNNNNNNNNNNNNNNNNNNNNNNNNNNNNNNAUGCUAAGUGUAAUUCAACUGGUCCAUAAUCUAUCAAUUUCAACUUGUAUAAUUUGUUCUUUCAAUUCUUUUCACACCGGAUGAUGCCUAAUAUGUGUAUAAGCCUAAACCAUAAAGGAUCACUGUUGACAAUACUUCUUUUAGUACCUAAUAAAAUUAUAUACACCCAGAUAAUAAGGUUAAGCAAACUGUAAGUAAGAAAGUUUACCAUACGAGUUGAAAAAUUGCUUCAACAAACUGUCUUUGCUUCUCUGUUUCACGCAAGAAGAUUUCAGCACCAAAAGAAUACUUUACAAAUCCUUGUUCUAUCCUUCCCGCCUCAAUUCUAGUGAAUAUCCCCAUCUUUUAAACUUCAGUAUUUCAAUUUUUGGUGUAUUUGGGACCUUUGUUUAUAGCUUUGGUUUCGGGAUAAGCUCUUUGUGCGGCAGAAGUUUGCUCUCAUGUAUUUAGGGUUUUUCCCCCUUUUUUCACUUCUUAUUAGAUUAGUUAUAGUGGGCUUUUAGCCCAAAUAUCUUUUUUUUUGGGUAUGCUAAUGACUAAUAUAGCCAAACAUAAAUAUGGGCUAUUACAUUCUCCCCACCUUAUGAAAUUCGGUCCCCGAAUUUUAAAUUAAAUGCAUGUCUGUAGACUAAAUUAAGUGAGGAUAUUUGACUUACAUAGCAUCUUCCACGUGCCAAGUAGUUUCUUCAACGAUGUAGUUUCUUCGUAAGACCUUGUCGAACAUAAUUUCUUUCGAUCGUAACUUUCUUAUUUGUCCGUUAACAUUAGCGGUCGACUCUUCGUCAUAAGUUAACUUCUUAUCAAGUUGUAUAAUUGGUGCUUCACGCACAUGAGAGGAGUCCAAUAUAAUUUGUUGUUUUUAAUAUAUAGAAUGAAGACAUGAAAUACUAGAUAAAAAUAUAACUUAGGAAUAUGUCCUAAAUGGUAAACAACGACUCCUAUCCCUUCAAUUAUUUCUUAUAAUCUUAUAAACCUUGGAUUUAUCUUUCCUCUUUUUCCAAAUUGCACCACGCCAUUCACAAGAGAGACUUAUAUGACCACUCGGUCUCUAACUGCAGAUUCUAAGUCUAAUUUUUCUCGUCUGCACAAGAGUUUUGUUGCUUUGUGAUGUAAGUAAUAUCUGUCUAAUUAACUGGACCUUAUCAAAAACUUCUUAUACUACCAAGUCUGGACCCAAUAUCUUAGUCUAAUCAUUUUUAUCAUCUAAUAAGAAAAUGAAAUCGCUACAACAUUACAAACGACGCCAUCUUAAUGUUCUAACUAAAAGCUAUUGUUGUAGGCAAAUUCAGCUAAAAAGUGGAAAUCAUCCCAACUACCUCCAAGAGCAAAUAUUCAAUAUUUCAACAUGACCUCCACGAUUUGUAUAAUUACACUCAGACUGUCUGGUUGUCUAUGAAUGAAAUGUGAUACUAAGAUCUACUAAUGUACCCAAUAUUUCUUGAAAAGAUUUCAAAAGUGUGAGGUGAAUUAUGAUCCUCCAUAAGUGAUGAUGGACAUGGGAAUCUGGUGAAGUCGGAAAAUCUCUUUCAUGUAUAUUUGCGCAUAUCACACCCCAUUGUAUGUAGUUUUGAUCGACAAGGAAUGUGCCCAUUUUAUAAGUCAUUCUACGAUUACCCACAUACUGUCAUAACCUAUAAGCAUUUAGGUAGCCCAUUCAAAAAGUACAUGAUAACUCUUUCCCAUUUCUGCUCUAGGACUCUAGUUGUUGUAGUAGGCCCAAGGGUCAUUGACGUUCAACCUUGUCGACAAGUUAAACAAAUAGAAACAAAGAUAGCAAAAAAAAAUGUUUGGUUCUACUUGCGUGUGGUUUAGGUGGCUUAUUGGCUAUAUCACAACUUUAUUUCAGUUCUUGGCCUUAUUUGGAGCUGUUAGAUCAGGCCCCAAAUUAAGCAGGCAGAAGAUGUGCAACACGUGGUGCAUCACACAUUGGGAUAGCAUUGUUCAUGUUUAUACUUGGUCCCUUCAUAUUGCUUAUUCUCAUAAGUAUGCACAAUUGGGUAUAUUGCUCAACUUCGGUAAUAGGACUGAUGUAUUUUCAUACUUUAUACCUCUUCAUUUUGUGAGACCUCCAGACAUUUGUGUUUAUAUUUUGUUAUUAUUAAUAAAAAAUACCACUAUGCGCUCAGUCUAGUGGUAUAUUAACUAUAUAAAAAAAAUAUAAUUGCUUUAGGUCAUGGUACAUAUACAUGUAUCUAAAAUCUUGGGCUUCAUUAAGAAUAUGUAACACAUCUCAACUUACCUACAUCUGCUACACAUAAUCCAUUACCUAGUUGACAACCUCACUGCCAGUAGUCAUAUCCUUAAUUUUACAGCUAGGAGAUCAUCUUAGUAUUCGCACAAUCGCUUAUCCUCCUAUUGACUAGCCUUUAUGCGCUUUAUAUUUGGCUUGACGAAUAGACAAUAAUUUUUUAAACUUUUUCACAUUAAAUCUGAUAUGUACACCUUCUAAUCUAUGUAUAUUUUUGUCCAGAAGUGUCCUUAUAGGAGCUAUAUGCACCAAAUUACCCAUACUUUUCUUUUUAAUGCAUAAGCCAUAAUAUUUGCCCUUUUCGAACGAUAGUAAGAAUAGUUCAUUUGUAUCUUCAUUAGUUCCCUCCAUUGGCGUUGCUAAAUAUUUAUAUCUCUGUUGGUUUUCAAAGUACUACAGGCUCUUUUGCUAUGUAUAAAUCUCAUAGGUUUCUCUGUAUAAAUAGUGUCUCCAAAUCCUAAGAGGAAAUACCACUGUGGCCAUCUCCAAAUCAUGAGUAGCAAAGUCUAUCUUAAGAUUCUUCAAUUUCCUUGAAACAUAAGCUAUCACUCGACCAUUAUACAUGAGAAAAUAUCCUAAUCCUACCCUCGAGGCAUCACCCAGCAUCGUGAACUAGAGCCUAAUGGAAUAAGGCUAAUAUUGGUGCGGUUGUGGAAUAAGACCCUCAAACAUGCCUUGCACUUUUGGAAUCUCGGCUUACAUUCCUUGAUCCACUGAAAUUUAGUAUUUUUCUAUACUAAUUUGAUGAGUGGUGGUGCUAUUCUAGAAUAAUUCUAUACAAAUGCUUGUAUUAACCUGUUAGGUCUAAAAAAAAGCCAAUCUAAAGGACAUAACGGGUAACUCAUAAUAUUUGUACUGAGUACUAGAGGCAACAUCGAAAUAUCUUCCCUUCUUAUUCUAAGCUGAUGAUAACCAGACUAAAGAUCAAUGGCUCCUUGUAACUGAUCAAACAAGUUAUCUAUACAAGAUAAAGGAUAUUUGUUGUAUAUUAUUAUCUUAUUUAAUUAUCUGUAGUUGGCCCACAUUCUUAAAGACUCAUCCUUUUUUUUCCAAAUGAUAUUGGUGUACCCCAUAGUGCAACACUCGGUAUGAUAAAACCUGUAUCCAGUAGGCUUGUCAAUUAUUCAAUUAGCUCUUUCAACUCUAUUGGUGCCAUAUGAUAUAGUUUUCAUGUCAGGUGUCAGCUCAAUACCGAAGUCUAUUUCUCAUAUUGGAGGUAGUCCUAGUAAAUCCUUAGGAAUACAUUAGAGAAUCUCUCAUUAUGAUGCUUUUUAUUUUCUUCUCAAACUAAGUGUUUCUUCUCUUGUGCCUCUUACCGUAUCUACGAGAUCUAAACAACCUUUCUUCUAUAGCCGUUAAGUCUUCAAAAUAUAUAAUUUGCUCGUCUCUAAAACCUAUUAUCCCAUUUUUGUACAAAACCAGCUUUUAAAGUUCACCAAACCUAAUAGUCUUUCUAUAGUAAUCGAGGGUAGCAUGGUAAGAAGAUUAGUAAUCCAUAUACAUCUGUACAUUAGAGUCAACCAUAUCAAGUACAACUUGGUUAGCUAGGGUUUCCUUCUCUUAACUUGAAUCUUAAAAGUUUUAAACACAUGUCUAACUACUAUAAAUUUUUCACAGAUGUGGCAACCCGAAAAGGAUUGCUUAAUAUCUCAAAACAUUCUUGAUUUUUAAAUCUUCGACUCAUAUUAAAAUUCAUACUAAAAGAUAUUCUAAUCUCGAUCUUCUUAUGUGAGUUCUUGCCCGCCUAUCAUGUUCAUAUUUUCAAUCUUUCUGGUAAGUGCAACUGCUACAGAAUAGGUUUAAGUCUUCAUAUAUGCAGUUACUAUCUUGUUUAAAUAAUUAACCAACCUUUCAACAAGCCUAUAAACUUAUGAUGUUGCUUGUGUAUCCAGCUGAGAAAGUUUAGUGUUAUAUGUAAGUAUACCCAACGUCUAAAUCAAUUUCUUAAAUGAUCUAGCAGGCAAGUUCACGUUACAAACUGUCAAGAAGGAGGUGAUUCAUAAACACUUUAGUGAAAUUUAUUUCAAAAUUAAUUGUGUUGCUCUUGUUGGCAUCUUUAAGAGUACAGUAGCAUUUCAUAUAUUCGUCAUGUUCUCUAGUCUAAAAGUUGUCUGUUCCAUAGAACUCUUCAUGAAAUAUCCUAUGGCUCAUAAAGUGGUAAGUAUUUUACUAAAACCUUUAAGGAUCCUUUGAACUAUCAGAAAUAGUAAACUUAGUAGUUUCAACUCUAGGAGCUUUAUUAAGAAUAUUUUGUUGGUCCCCAUAAUCUUCUAAGUGCACGAGGACUUUAGAGCCCCUAUUCUGUUGCUCAUUCUUCUCAUGUUUAUCUAUUACCUCCAAACAGAUCUCAAUUUUUUUUUCAUUUUUUUCAUGGAGGUAAGUACCUUUUUGUGAUAGCACUCCUCUAUCACUGUAGUGGUGGACUAAUAUAAAUUUUCGAAAUGGACUAUAUUACGCAUCUUAUCGGAAAGCACCUCAUAUGGCACAAUGAACCCUUCACUGGUCUUGUAUACUAUUUAUGUAACAUUUCUUUGCUUGGAGAUGGUUGCAUGUCCAUUGCCGAAAUUUGACGUCUUUGAAGUUUGAACCACUAGAAAAAUUCUAUUGUAGGGUAAUUGGUCCGAGUCAUACACGAAUAUGAUAAGUAAUAAUAGAUUCAGUUAUUUGACCCUAAUCGCCACACACGUACGGAGGAAUAAGAAAGAAAGACAAGACACAUCCUAUCACGCCCUCACAGAAUCACGAUUAUGGGAAUGGCCGGCUACAUAACCAUAAUUGAGAUUCUACUACUGACGUGUGCUCCAUUAGUCACAAGAAUAACCUAGGGCUCUGAUACCAACUUUGUCACGACCCAAUUAAGGAUCAUGACCGGCGCUUAGGAGUAAAUGCCCCCAAGUAAGCCUCAUCGAUAUUUUAUAAAAAAUCGGACAACGUUUCCCGUAUUUUAGGACUAUCCAAAAAUUACCUGUCUCAAAAAGCAACAACAAAACCAAUUAAUAUCUAACAAAACAACUCAUAAUCGUCAUCGACUACCCAGUCAGAUCUCCAUCACUAUUAAACAAUCACUUGUAAGACCGUGAUGCUAAAUCUAUCUCCAAAAUACGAUAAGAAAGUCCGAUCUAGUAAACAAGUCGAGAAUGAUAAUUAAUUCACAUGACACUAUUGAAAUGACUAUGGAGCGACUCUAAGAGUUUUAAAGAAAAGACUAUAACAAUAAAUAAAAUCUACGCCCACGCGAACAAGUGCGAGGCUCAUCAAGAACUAUCAACCUGUGCGCUCUAAUUAACGAAAUCUUUGCCCGCGUCAACUGUUGUCUCUGUAAAAAAAUUAGCGGGAAUGAGUCGUUAGCUCAGUGAGUAAUAACACUAAACAACAACCGUUUUUAUUGGGGACAAGUCAGAAAACAUGCUAGUAUCUCAAACAGAAAAUAACAUAAAAAUGCCCUUUUAGAAAUAAUAAAUAAUUCUCAAUCUCAUUAUACUUUUCUUGUAGUACAAUAAUAUUAAGAAUUCAAUAAUAAGCUCGGUAACCACUGUAUAAUAUCAGUAUUCACAUUUGGGAGGUUUCACUGAAUGGUUCAUAUAAUCGGUAUAACUGUGGACUUCCGCGCAAGAAGUCAAAUAUAACGGUAGUCCCUACUCGAGGGAAAACGGUAACGGUAUGCUAGUUCUACCUUCCCACUAGCGAGGGCUAUAAUUGUACUCUGUAAUCGGUAAAUACAAGGUACACCAGGUCUAACGAACCCGCCGUUAGCUACGGGAUCCUUUAAAGUCUCCUCCCAUUUAUACUUUUUCUUGUAACCAGUAAAUAUUCAUAAGAAAGCAUUUUCAAAUCACAAAGGGCAUAUAAAUUCUUACCAAAUCAUGUAAAUCCAUUUCGGUAAUGGUAACUAUAUCUCAAGUAACAGUAAAACAUGUCUAGUAUUAGUGAGAACAUUUUAAAUAACGAUAAACAUCUCCAGUAAAUUGUUCAGUACCAUAUCAAGUAAAGGACUUGUCCCAUAUGCAAUUUCAAACAUUCAGUAACAUAUUUUAUUUUCAAAAUAACAUAUAAACCAUGUAGGUUAUGAAAACACAAAUUGUGGUAAGAUUACUAUUCACAGUACUCGUGCGAAAUACCAAACUCGUCACCUCGAACGAUCUGUACGAUUUUCUUCAAUCAAUUUAUAACCACAUCAACACCGAUAUCGUGUUAAUUGCUUCAUUUAUGCCAAAUUCAUCACUAAUUUAGGAUACCCAAUCCUCCGAAUUUUAUAUUUUAUCAUCAAUUCGCCAAAUUAUAUUUACCCAUGCUAAGUGUAACUCAACUGGUCCAUAAUCUAUAAAUUUCAACUUGUAUAAUUUGUUCAUUCAAUUUUUUUUUUCACACCAGAUGAUGCCUAAUAUGUGUAUAAGCCUAAACCAUAAAGGAUCACUGUUGACAAUACUUCUUUUAGUACCUAAUAAAAUUAUAUACACCCAGAUAAUAAGCUUAAGCAAACUGUAAGUAAGAAAGUUUACCAUACGAAUUAAAAAAUUGCUUCAACAAACUGUCUUUGCUUCUCUGUUUCACGCAAGAAGAUUUCAGCACCAAAAGAAUACUUUACGAAUCCUUGUUCUAUCCUUCCCGCCUCAAUUCCAGUGAAUAUCCCCAUAUUUUAAACUUCAGUAUUUCAAUUUUUGGUGUAUUUGGGACCUUUGUUUAUAGCUUUGGUUUCGGGAUAAGCUCUUUGUGCGGCAGAAGUUUG